rnacentral:rRNA from 1 species
AGCAGCCGCGGUAAUUCCAGCUCCAAUAGCGUAUAUUAAAGUUGUUGCAGUUAAAAAGCUCGUAGUUGAAUUUCGGGAUUGACGUGAUGGUCAUGCCUUAAGGGGUAUGAACUGUUACUGUUGAUUUCUCACCUUCUGGAGAAACUUGAUGUCCUUUAUUGGGUGUCUUGCGGAACCAGGACCUUUACCUUGAAAAAUUAGAGUGUUUAAAGCGGGCAUUUUUGCUCGAAUACAUUAGCAUGGAAUAAUAGAAUAGGACGGCAUGGUUCUAUUUUGUUGGUUUCUAGGAUCACCGUAAUGAUUAAUAGGGAUAGUUGGGGGCAUUAGUAUUCAGUUGUCAGAGGUGAAAUUCUUGGAUUUAUUGAAGACUAACUACUGUGAAAGCAUUUGCCAAGGAUGUUUUCAUUAAUCAAGAACGAAAGUUAGGGGAUCGAAGACGAUCAGAUACCGUCGUAGUCUUAACCAUAAACUAUGCCGACUAGGGAUCGGACGUAAGUUAAUUUUAUAAUGACGCGUUCGG